AGCACCCACAUAUCAUUCUGGAAACAGGAAUGAAACAGAAAAUCAGUGAGUGGCACAGGCUUGGCAUGGAAGUGGGGUACUUUGAGGAAGUACUAGUUGAGACCUUCCAGCUCAAAGGGUGUUUUGUCCUCACUCAACCUUCCUGUGAACAGCGCUGCCAGCUUGGGUGGGCUACCAAGGAAACGCCGAGAAUUUGUCGGACUUGAAAAGAAAAGCAAACGGGCUGUGAAUUUGUUAGAGGCUGCAGGUGGCUUUGAUUCUCUGCGCGGAGCCUGCGCCGGAAACAUCCCGGCUCCUGAGCCUCCCAGGGGACUCCAGCAGACAGGGCUGCACAGCCCCGGUGAUGACUCACGGGCAGGAACUCACCUCCGAGCGAGUGGCAGUAGCGGGGGAAAAGUGUCCGAGCCAAAAUGAGUCAGAGGGGAGCGAAGGCUGCAGAGCAGGGCUGCCCUGGCAGCCUGCUGACACACUGAGCUCCAGAGCUGCCAGCGGCGACAGCGAUUGCAUAACUGCUGGGAAAGCAAACCCAGAACAAGCUGUAAAACCUGUGGCAGCCUGGUGGAAGACACAGCAGCCUUCAGGGCUUGCUAUCCAGCAAUUUCGUUGGAGAAAGCUGGAUGGCCUGUGGUAGGUUUUGAAUGGGUGGGUAGAGAGAGUUUUAUUAGGAGGGUGCAGUAAAAUUUGCACCUUUGGGGACAAUGCAGCGUUGAAUGGAGAAGCUGUGCCACAAAGAUCUUUUUGCACUCUUAUAUUUGUCAGUGGAAGUCUGUUGAGAUCUACUAGAGACUUGAGACUACAAAAACCACCUGAGAUAUGGGAAAAAAAUGCACAAGAAACCUGCUCAGCCCUUUCAUCUUGAGGAUGUGUCCUGGAAAAUAGAAGUCCCAGGUGCUGUGACUUCUUGAAAUCUUCAGGAUCUGUUUUAAGUACACAAAAUAAAUUUACCAAUAAAACUAUUAACUGUCUAGACAGAUUUAUGGAUUUAACUUUGGACAUGUGCAAUAUGAAUUUGAAACAGCGCUAUCCUAACAGGAUACUCUUUCUUUGUAUAGAACAUCAGCUGCUGGGUCAUAUCUCUUCCUCUGGAAUCAGCACCUGGAAAAUAUUAGAUGAGUCACAAGAAUCUGAGAGCUCUGAAAAGCAGCAUACACCAAGUGACAUACAGGAUGAAAGCUUUAAACUCACAACUUAAAACAACAAACCAGAGCCCUCAGAGCAGGAAUAGACUUAAGCUGCUGUGAAGUGUUAAAAAUUGACUGGUGGGAUCAAGCUAAGGUACUCAGGCAGCAUCAGGAAUGGCAAGAUAGCAAUGAAUACACAAAGACCAUGAGCAUCCUUUUCUGACUCUUUUUUUCCUCAGGCAGUGCUGAUUUUGCAGUUACUCUCCUUCCUGAGAUAAUUUACACCAGCCUACACAGCACUUUUUGCUCUGGACAUACCCUGACAGAUGGUAGCUCUGGAUGCACUUACAAAAUAGUUCAGAUGGAUAAGUGUAGGUCAGCAGGAUUGUCAAUGUGCUAGUAAGAUACCUGAAGAUUCUAGGUUAUGUUUACAUAGCAGUUGAACUAUAAAUGCAGGAUCAUACCAUGUUCCCCUACUUAAUCCAGGAUUAGGACACAGGUUCUAGGUGUGGUGGUCACUCUCUGAACUUUGCCAGGCAUGUCCAUGGGCAGAAAAAGUGCUAGAGUCUCAAGAUGAAAACAGGGAUUAGCCUGCAUCCUGCCCCUGACACAGCUGGCCAAUAGUCUCUUGCUCUGCUAUGUCUUUUCCUGUGGGGAGUUCCAGCCUACUCCCUCUCCUGCAGCUCCUCCUUCACAAAAUUUGGUGGAAAAAACCCCCCAGUAAUGACUGUCUCCUAAAGCAUAAAUAAAGGGUUUCAUGAAGGGCUUCUUCCUGCAUGUUUUCAGCAGGUCAUUUCACAGGUCUGUAUCUGUGAAGGAAAAUAGCUGUUCCAAACUGGAAUGUGACACUUGUGUUUUCUUUCUGAAAACCUUGCACCUCUGGAGCUCUAGUUCAGACAGGCUCCAGACAGUCUCAAGUCCUGAAUUUCUUUUCUCCUUAAUUGCUUGCUAUAUUAUUCUCCAUGUUUAUUUCUUUUUAAUUUCUCCCUCUUUUUCCUCCUGAUCUUUCUUUUCUCUGCACUAGAAUGUAAGUUACCCAUGUUUUCAUAGCUGCAGCAGCAAAGCCAAAACUCCUGCAUUUCUGCCUCUAACUUCACCAGAACUCAAAAUGAACCUUAGUAAACAGGGAUGUGAAGAGCCACAAAAAGGGGCCUUGUACUUUAGCACAUAGAUCAUGGGCCUCUUGGACUCAGCCUGUGGUAAGUGUAUGGGAAAUGAAAGUCUUGUGUGAAUAGCUCUGGAAGUGUUUGGGGCCCACACUGUGUUUGCCAAGGAAGUUUUUAGGAAACUUCAGAAAGGCAGAAAUUUCUGAUUCUGGACUAUCUUUACUUCAUGGUAGGAUCAUCUGACUUUGAGUUAUUGGUGAUAACAAAUGGUAACAGACCCAACAUCAUCUGGAAGGUCUCAGAUAAGCACUGAUAACCUCUCCUUUGGCUACUUCUUGAGCACAUUCCUAGCCUUCCACCUUUGACUUUCCAAAGUAUUUUCCAAUUAGUGAGGUAUUGCUCUCCCCCUGUGAAAAGCAGCUCCUUAACUUCACGUGGGACUAAACCAGAUUGUUUGCUUCAGUCAGUCCCCACCAGCCACAGUCUCUGACAUUGCUCACACCACUCCUGCUGCUUUUCCCUGGUCACUUGCCACUGUGUACCAGUGUUCUCUGAGCUGGGGAGCCUGAGGAUGUCUUAUUCCAGCUGUAUCCUUCCUAUUGCUCAGUGGUACUAAACCAUUACUUCAUUUGAAUUGCUGGUUAAACUCAGGGUUUUUGUUCCACUCACAAGAACAUUAUGUUGAUGAGACAGAUCUGGGCUCAUUCCAUUCUAUUAAAAUUUCCUUUUUCUGUUUGAACUUCUUAUGUAGAAUAUGGAUUUUAUUUUUUAUCUUUUGUAAUAUGGUAGUACAGUUUUAACAGUGAAAAUUAAAUUGGAGUCUGGCACUAAAGUACUAUUGACUUAAAUUUUUUAUGAUUCUUUUCUGUAUGUUUUAUAUGCUUGCAGACAGAAUUUAGCUGGCUUCCAAUGAAUAAAAUUAUUAAUAUGAAUCAGAUUUUUUAAAACACAUCCUCAGGAUGCUGUUGGUGACACAAACUCUAAGGUGUAAGGAUUAAUGUUUUCAGCAUGUGGUAAUUAAUGAUGCGGCUUUUUAGUAUGUAGUUCAAUUGAUAACAUAUACUAUUCUGCCCUACUCUUAAUUUAAAAUAUGCUCAGUUGUAACAACAUUUAGUUCCUAAUUAGUGAUUUUAUCUUCAUAGCUUAAAAUGGUUUAUGAAAGCAAUUAUUCAUUACUAAUCCUAUUUUUUAGAAUUCAUCUCUGGGGUUUUGUUUUUUGCUUGGUUUGCUGAGGGACAAAUAUUGAUUUGCCAUAUACUCCAUGAUAUGUUAUAAAAAGGUUUGAAGUUGGAACCAGUGUUUCCUGAAUCAAUUUAUUUGACCAUAAUGCUUUCAAAAUACUCUUACUAGUCCAUUUCGCAAAUGAUUAUUUAAUGAGGUUGGUAAAAAAGUAGCUGGUCAUGGUGUUCUGAAACAAGUGACUGUGAGACACAUACUCUGCACUUUUUUCCCCUAUUAAUUCUAUUUAUAUAAUUUUAUACUUUAUUCCAAAGGUGAAAAUACAUGUAUUAAGUCCUGGGGACAUUCUUUAAAAUGGCCAUGUGCUUUUUUUGUUGUUGUUGUUUUUUUUUUUUAAUGCAUAAUAACGUUUUUUCCUUUUUUAAAAAAUCUUAAGAAGCUGACACUAUGUGUAUGCCACAGCCACUAUUGCAGAUGCAGGAGUGUAUGCCAUCUUUGCUUAUUCUGGAAGUUUCUAAUAAUCAUAGCAUAUAUUAAAUAAUCUUUGUUUCUGCUUUAUCUACACUAUAAUGAAACCAAUGUAUGUUCUAAAACUUAGCAAAGUGUGUGUUAUUUUUCCACCAAUAAAAGUGUUUUUAAGAGAGGACUGUAUCAGCACUAUUCUAAACCAAAUUACCCACACAUGUUAAAUUACCUUUUAAUUCGGUUUACCAGAGGUGGUAAGUGAAACAUAUUGUAUUUGCCAUGCACAGCCCCAGAGUGUCCUCCUGGGGCUACUAAAAAUGGCACUGAGUGUCACAUCUGACCCAGCCACUCAGCAGUGUAGGAAGCCAGGUAUGUUGACUGCCACUGUCCAGCAAGCUAUCAUUUGCCAGAUCCAGGUCUGGCAUUUAGGUUGUCUUGAUAGCUCUUUUUUAGCAAGAAGCAAAAGAAAUCACUUUUACUUCAGCAGACAUUCCUGAAACAAACCUCAGAAUUCAGGAAAAGAACAGGUGAAAACAAAUGGUAACAGGAACUCUUCCCUAACUGUAAUAAGGAAACAGACACAUCACAGCCACCCUUAGAGCUUGCAUAUUUAUUGAACAAAACCUACUAAAAUAGCUAAAAUACAUUGGGUACUUGCAUUAUUAAAGAUCACAUUGUUACAAAAGCCUGCAUUUUCAGCAGUACACAACUGCAACUAUACAUAAAUGCCACAACUGUUGAAUAUUACUUCUUGCUCUAUAUACAGCACAGCAGACGUAUCUAUUCUAUUGGAAAAGAAAGUGUACAAGGAAAGGGAUACAGAAGGUAGGGAAAGGAAAGAAAUCUAGAAGUGCAGUGCAUGCAUUGGUUUUUAACAGUCAGAAGCUAAGACAGUUCAGAACAAGGCCUGCCCUGUAAAAGGAAUAGCUAAAAGACAGAAUUAUAUAAAAAAUUAAGGUGGGCUUUCAGACUGUGUCUAACACAACAACACUCCAUGAGUAGAUGAUACUGCUUAGUUUUGUGGUUUGUGUUAUUUUGUAUUUAUAGUAGAUUGGGAGCAAGAACAAAAAUGUAAAGUCCACAUGUUGACAGUAUCGUGGAAAUGUACUCUUUCCCCUUUAGGACUUCUCUUCCCAGAAAUUUGCUGUAUUUUUCUUACUAUAUCCCCUAGUUUAUGGAUUUGAAGAGGACAUUAAAACUUGUCCCUUCUUUAAAAAAGGCUUGUAAGAAAAAAAGACAAAAAUCAAGAGAUUUUGAGAAGUUGGUGGAAAAUUAUUGCUCAUCUUUCUCCAUAAGGUGGAUAGGAGUCAGAAAGGAGAUUUUACGAAAAUUACAGUUUUGUGAUUGCUCCCACUAUAACUGCAUGUUUGUGAGUGGACACUGAUAGGGAAUCAGUUCCUCACUUGUACACUAUAAGUAGUUACUCACCUACAGCAC